AAUAUUGGACAAUGGGCGCAAGCCUGAUCCAGCCAUGCCGCGUGAGUGAAGAAGGCCCNAGGGUUNUNAAGCUCUUUCACCCGCGNAAAUGAUGACGGUACCUAAGGAGGAAGCCCCGGCUACCUACGUGCCAGCAGCCGCGGUAAUACGUAGGGGGCAAGCGUUGUCCGGAAUUAUUGGGCGUAAAGGGUGCGUAGGCGGCCUUUUAAGUCAGGUGUGAAAGCCCACGGCUUAACCGUGGGAUUGCAUUUGAAACUGGAAGGCUUGAGUAUCGGAGAGGGUAGUGGAAUUCCCAGUGUAGCGGUGGAAUGCGUAGAUAUUGGGAGGAACACCAGUGGCGAAGGCGACUACCUGGACGAAAACUGACGCUGAGGCACGAAAGCUAGGGGAGCAAACA
rnacentral:rRNA from 1 species